CAAGGGCAUGAGCAUGGAGCAGGGAGGUCAUUGACUCCUCGUUGUUACUGCUCCUCACCAUGGCUUAGGAGUCCAACACGCCUGGAACCAGCACGGCCGGCUGAAGAAGCAACGGCUCCUAUGGAAUCCCAACAUUUGGGGCCUCAUCGUCGGCUGGAACCGAAUAUGGCACGUCACCUCGACCUUGCUCUUCAUGAACACCCACUGUCCCCGACCUCCACUAGCCGCUGAAUCAACCACCGCUUAUGUACCUUGAGUUCCCCCCAAUCUGCAGUUCCUAUCCAAGAUCCCUGACCUCCAAAUGUCCCCCAAGGUUAGCUUCUGAUACGAGGAAGUCGGUCGUGGGCAAGUGAUAUGAAGUUAACAUUGAUUGACAUUAUAGUUUCUUUUGUCCGUGUUUAACACGGCUUAUGCAUUAGAAAUUAUCACUGAUUUGAAUUGUGUAUACACAAGCCUUCCUAUGUAACUAUACGGUGCACACAAAUAUUAUGUGUAUUCUUUUCAUGACA